AUCAAAAUCCAUUAGGAGGUCAACAAUCUCCCCUUUUUGAUGAUGACAAAACACUGAGUAUAUGCAAAAUUCGAAAUUUAAACAUAUACGCAGUAUUUGAUCAGAUGUACAAGUAUUGUGUUUUGGUUAGAGCUAGAUACAGUGUGCAUAAUUCAAAAUAGUCAACUUUCAGUUCUAUCCUUAUGCAUAAGUAUUGAUCUUAGUAGCUUUUGAGCAAUUUUAGCAUAUCAACCGAAUUUGAAUCAAGUUAAAAUGUAAAUUAAUGAAAUAUUGAUGCUAAAGACAAUUGAAAGCUAAAUACUUUUUGACUCCCCCUUUCUUUUCCAGAAGAGCAAUUAUCUUAAAGCCAAUAUUCUUCAAUUUUAUCUUUUCUAAUUCAACUUUUAAGUAUGAGUGUAAAUUCUGUAUUUUG
rnacentral:lncRNA from 1 species